rnacentral:rRNA from 1 species
UACAGAGACUGCAAGCGUUAUUCGGAUUCACUGGGCGUAAAGGGUGCGCAGGCGGCCGUGUGUGUGAGGUGUGAAAGCCUGGGGCUUAACCCCAGAAAUGCGCCUCAAACUACAUGGCUAGAGCAUUGGAGAGGGUAGCAGAAUUCAUGGUGUAGCAGUGAAAUGCGUAGAUAUCGGGAGGAACACCAGUGGCGAAGGCGAUCACCUGGGGUUGUUCUGACGCUGAGGAGCGAAAGCUAGGGGAGCAAACGGG